rnacentral:siRNA from 1 species
GGAAUUGUGGUGAUUCGC